GGGCCGUUAGCUCAGCUGGAUAGAGCAUGCGACUUCUAAUCGCACGGUCGCUGGUUCGAAUCCAGCACGGCCCG
rfam:Synechococcus sp. WH 5701 scf_1099465003792 genomic scaffold, whole genome shotgun sequence.